GUGUCAGCCGCCGCGGUAAUACCAGCUCUCCGAGUGGUGGGGAUGAUUAUUGGGCCUAAAGCAUCCGUAGCCGGCUGGACAAGUCCCCUGUUAAAUCCAACGAUCCAAUCGUUGGUCUGCGGGGGAUACUGUCCGGCUUGGGGGCGGGAGAGGCCGCCGGUAUUUCCGGGGUAGGGGUGAAAUCCUAUAAUCCCGGGAGGACCACCAGUGGCGAAGGCUGUCGGCUAGAACGCGCCCGACGGGGAGGGAUGAAAGCUGGGGGAGCGAACCGGAUUAGAUACCCGGGUAGUCCCAGCUGUAAACGAUGCAGGCUAGGUGUUAGGGCGGCUACGUGCCGCUCUAGUGCCGCAGGGAAGCUGUUAAGCCUGCCGCCUGGGGAGUACGGUCGCAAGGCUGAAACUCAAAUGAAUUGACGGGG
rnacentral:rRNA from 1 species